CAUAUUAAUACCUACACCUGCCCAUGCUGACACACGCACAGGGGCACACACACCUGUAACCUACCUGCAGCACAUCUCACCUGAGCAGCACUGUCAGCACUUGCAGCAGAAGCUGAAGGCAGAAUAAGAAGAUGCUGUUUCAACAGGCCGAUACUGCAGGCUCAGCUGCAGUUCUGUUUGCUUUCAUUGAACCACAGAUUCAAGAGAAGGACAAAAAGAGACCAAAGCUAUCCAAAUUCUGAAGCCUGCUGAAAUUAUCCUUCUCUGCCUGAACCAGAACAAGCAGUUCCACCUGAGGUAUCUAAAGAUUUUUGCUCUUGUGCAUGGCUUCCUAGGAGAAAAAGAAGUGCGUGGUAUAUUAGAUAAACAGGUGCCUCUGCUCUGGAAAUUGCUUGUAUAAGUGAAUUGUUGCAUCCUAUGAGAGCAAGCACAGAAGCAAAGACAAUUCAAGAAGUCCAAGUGAUAUCUGUGGUGACAAGAUGUUUUAAUGCUCUUCUGUGAAACCUUGAGAACUAGAAAUUAACUUAAUUGUUCAAUGAAACCUGUGAUUCUUCUAUUCCCAUUUCUCAGGAAACAGUGUUAAGAAAAAUAAAUAUUAUGGUAAUAAAGAAAAAAAAAAUUAUGGUGACACUGACAUGUAUUGUGUAUCUAUUCUACCUAGUUGAUUUCUGAAAAGGCAAAGUAAUAUUUCUUUCUGCCCUAGAAAACUUGGAACUUAGAGGAAGCAGAAUGGAGUCCUAGGAAUUAGAAUAUGGGGAAAAAAUAUAUAAAAUUUAAGCUUGUGGUCUUUUCACAAGCUAAUCAGCCCAAACUAGUUGUUUAGAACCACACACUUACUCAGACUUCUCCCAGCAUCACUCGUCUGCCCUUGCCAGAAAUCCCACCAAAACUUAGGGUAGAGGCAACAAUCAAAGAAUCCAUUUCUUGUUAUCAGCAGUUAAUGAUUGCAACUUAAAAUGUCUUCACAGAUAUGCUUUCAAAAUCCUCCCUUGUGCUCCUGGCAUGAGAGGAGGAGCUGCCCUGCCUCAUCCUCAGGCAUACUUGGGGCACAGCUGUGCCCUGAGCCAGGCCUGCUCCACUGUGGCCCCUCAGCCUGAGAGCAUAGGCACCACCACCCAAAGCACACAAAUAGGUAUUAAAUGCAUAGUAAUUUUGGCCAAGUUAAAUCUGAUUAUCUUGUGCCACCUCUCACAAAAUAUUAACACAGUUUUCCAGAAAUUAAAAGCUUGCAGAGUCAGUCCUGAUAUAA